rnacentral:misc_RNA from 1 species
UUAUCGUACCCAAGAUGAUGCCCAUCCUCUCCUGGCUGAUAACCACGCUACAAACUAUUUGGUAGCCGCGCCUCGUUAUAAUCAAGAGCAGUUGGCUUGGAUCAUAGCUAUGGAGAUCCUUAGCCUGGCAGUUUUUACUUCCGGAUAACCUUCGAGGUUCGAAUAGCAGUAUCGUAAUUAUCGCCGCGAGAAACUGCUAGAGAAGCAGAGGUAUACCGAAGGAGUUGCCGAGAGAUGUUGCCGAGAGAUGUUGCCGAGAGAUGUUGCCGAGAUACGUGUAAAUUUCAGAAAUAAACAAAAGUCUGUCAGGAAUUAAUCGACACUUUUCUAUAGAU